UGGGGAAUAUUGGACAAUGGGCGCAAGCCUGAUCCAGCCAUGCCGCGUGAGUGAUGAAGGCCCUAGGGUUGUAAAGCUCUUUCACCGGUGAAGAUAAUGACGGUAACCGGAGAAGAAGCCCCGGCUAACUUCGUGCCAGCAGCCGCGGUAAUACGAAGGGGGCUAGCGUUGUUCGGAUUUACUGGGCGUAAAGCGCACGUAGGCGGACUUUUAAGUCAGGGGUGAAAGCCCGGGGCUCAACCCCGGAACUGCCUUUGAUACUGGAAGUCUUGAGUAUGGUAGAGGUGAGUUGAAUUCCGAGUGUAGAGGUGAAAUUCGUAGAUAUUCGGAGGAACACCAGUGGCGAAUGCGGCUCACUGGACCAUUACUGACGCUGAGGUGCGAAAGCGUGGGGAGCAAACAGG
rnacentral:rRNA from 1 species